UACACUUUGGUAUAAGAUGUACAUUAAUUUUUGAUAUUAAAGGAAACAGUUUGAUCCUGUUAAGUGUAU
rnacentral:tRNA from 1 species